rnacentral:rRNA from 1 species
UACGGGGGGAGCAAGCGUUGUUCGGAUUUACUGGGCGUAAAGGGCGCGUAGGCGGCCUCCGCAAGUCAGUUGUGAAAUCUCCGAGCUUAACUCGGAAAGGUCAACUGAUACUGCGGGGCUAGAGUGCGGAAGGGGCAACUGGAAUUCUUGGUGUAGCGGUGAAAUUCGUAGAUAUCAAGCAGAACACCUGCGGCGAAGGCGGCCUUCUGGACGAUGACUGACGCUGAGACGCGAAAGCGUGGGGAGCGAACAGG